AUUGAACGCUGGCGGCAGGCCUAACACAUGCAAGUCGAGCGAGCGGCGGACGGGUGAGGAAUGUCUGGGAAACUGCCUGAUGGAGGGGGCUAACUACUGGAAACGGUAGCUAAUACCGCAUACCAACGGAUGUGCCCAGAUGGGAUUAGCGAGUAGGUGGGGUAAAGGCUCACCUAGGCGACGAUCCCUAACUGGUCUGAGUGGAUGACCAGCCACACGGGAACUGAGACCCGGUCCAGCCUCCUACGGGAGGCAGCAGUGGGGAAUAUUGCACAAUGGGCGCGAGCCUGAUGCAGCCAUGCCGCGUGUAUGAAGAAGGCCUUCGGGUUGUAAAGUACUUUCAGCGGGGAGGCGUUACCCGCAGAAGAAGCACCGGCUAACUCCGUGCCAGCCGCCGCGGUAAUAC
rnacentral:rRNA from 1 species